UAUAGCCAGGCUUGCCUAUGUUUCAUUUUAGACAAGAGCCUUCUCAAUGUAAUGGAAACAAUAUGAAAGCCUUGCUUAAUGAUGCAGAUUCGUUAUUGCAGUUUUACAUAAGAGCACAGAGUGAACUCCUGCUUUAAAGAUUGAGAAAUGGGUUUCCCAGCAAUCAGGAAACCCAGUUGGAUCAGUGAGAAUUUUGAUACAUGUCCCCCCAGUUUUUGAGUAUCUCAUAGUGGUGUGGAUGAAUUAUUCUGUCAAGGAAAAAAUCAUCUUCAUCUUUGGAAGAAUAUAAGCUUACAAACACACCGGACCAGCUCUUUGUCAGCACACGUAUUAAACAGAAAAAUCAUUGAGGUGAAAUUAAAUGGUUUCCCCUUUCAAACUGACAGCUGACUGAGUGAAGUGCUCAUAAAAAAAGAAUGGAAGACAUGGUGUGAUUAGCUCUGGGAAUCUUCUGGUGAGGAUACAAUGCCAAGGUGAAAGAAACCUUGCCUGUAUGCAAGUGGUCCCAGCUAAACAUGACAAAGUAUUUCAAGUGUCAUUUGGUAAAUCUGAGAACAGACCUAACUUGACUGGGCAAAUUGCAUAUUACAUUUGUAAUGUUCAGUUCAGUGGAGGCUGGAAGAUCCAUGUAUGUGGAACAGUGAAUCCAUUCUGGGUUUAUGAACUAUCCAGAGUGCUGGACACUAUUGCCUUUAUAGACUUGGCACCUUGGUUAGCUCCUGUAAAAUUCAGAUGUAAAUCUAGAGUGCGUUUACCACCAGAGUUACAGAAGGAAGAAACCACCCUCUGUUUACUGUCAUUUGAAGAGAUCAGGUAGAUUUAUUCUGGGCCAGUAGUUUUCCGACUGUGUUGCUUGGCUCUUCAUGGCUCUCAGUGACUGUAUCCUUGGAUAAUCUGGUGCUUUUAACAGGUGCUCACUGACAAGAUCAGUAAAGGCUGAUUAACUUAAAUGAAAGACAGCUCCCAUUCUCUGAGGAUAUUACACUACAAGUCCAUCCACAUGAAUAUUUGAAGCAUGUGCUAGGAUGAUUUUUUAGCUGGCAUACAGCCAGCAUCAAGGGUGUGGCUACCAACCUGCUCAGCAGACCAUUGAUUUCCAAAUUACAGAGAAUAUUAAUAUUUAAAUCAUUGCUUGUUUUUGGCUUGGAGAGCCAGUGUGAUGUAGUAGCU